rnacentral:rRNA from 1 species
AGUCGUAACAAGGUCUCCGUAGGUGAACCUGCGGAGGGAUCAUUACACAAAUAUGAAGGCGGGCUGGAACCUCUCGGGGUUACAGCCUUGCUGAAUUAUUCACCCUUGUCUUUUGCGUACUUCUUGUUUCCUUGGUGGGUUCGCCCACCACUAGGACAAACAUAAACCUUUUGUAAUUGCAAUCAGCGUCAGUAACAAAUUAAUAAUUACAACUUUCAACAACGGAUCUCUUGGUUCUGGCAUCGAUGAAGAACGCAGCGAAAUGCGAUAAGUAGUGUGAAUUGCAGAAUUCAGUGAAUCAUCGAAUCUUUGAACGCACAUUGCGCCCUUUGGUAUUCCAAAGGGCAUGCCUGUUCGAGCGUCAUUUGUACCCUCAAGCUUUGCUUGGUGUUGGGCGUCUUGUCUCUAGCUUUGCUGGAGACUCGCCUUAAAGUAAUUGGCAGCCGGCCUACUGGUUUCGGAGCGCAGCACAAGUCGCACUCUCUAUCAGCAAAGGUCUAGCAUCCAUUAAGCCUUUUUUUCAACUUUUGACCUCGGAUCAGGUAGGGAUACCCGCUGAACUUAAGCAUAUCAAUAUAAAAGUCG